AAGUCGUAACAAGGUUUCCGUAGGUGAACCUGCGGAAGGAUCAUUAACACGUAUCCAACGUUAAACCCCCUGUGAACCUUCAUUGUACGAGUUACAUCCACGUCAUAAACCGGCAAUCUCUGGUAAAUCAUCGCCGAACAGUUUUGAUUCAGAGACCUCUGGGAAGGGUGUACGGUAGUGCGAGGCAAUUGACCUGGCAUUCCUCUGCUUGUUAGUGUCUGAAAGUGUCACUAGCUAUGUACGGAUGGCGCUGCCGCGGCGACCAGGUCACUGGGCUACGGCCCAUGAAAACGGGCCUGCGCUGAGGUGCGGGCACCCCUAAUAAUGCUUGAACAACUGUUAACAAUGGAUAUCUUGGUUCUC
rnacentral:misc_RNA from 1 species